GCAGGAUGUUUUCACUGAUUGUAAACUGGGAUUCUGUCUGACUGAUGAUUAAAACAAUCAGAUGACCCUCAGGUGUCUACUUCAGGAGCUGAUGUGACUGGGGAGAAGUCAGUCACCACACUUGGGCCAACCAGGAAAAUGGGGAAGUGGAGAGUCUUGGGUGUGCCUGUCUGAAGCUCUGAAGAAGUCCUCUGUCCUCAGGUCACAAAAUAGUUUAUCGCAUGGUCACUUGAUAACAUUACAGUUUUUGUUUCCCAGCUCGUCACUCUUGUCAGUGCUCUGUUGAUACCAGGGUCCUGGACUGUUGCAGCUGACCUGGAGAAGGAGCAGGUAAGGAG
rnacentral:lncRNA from 1 species